UGCAUCGGCCGGGAAUCGAACCCGGGCCGCCCGCGUGGCAGGCGAGCAUUCUACCACUCUGAUACUUGU